AAUAGAUACCCUGGUAGUCCACCCCGUAAACGUUGGGAACUAGUUGUGGGGUCCUUUCCACGGAUUCCGUGACGCAGCUAACGCAUUAAGUUCCCCGCCUGGGGAGUACGGCCGCAAGGCUAAAACUCAAAGGAAUUGACGGGGCCCGCACAAGCGGCGGAGCAUGUGGCUUAAUUCGACGCAACGCGAAGAACCUUACCAAGGCUUGACAUACACCGGAAACGUCCAGAGAUGGGCGCCCCCUUGUGGUCGGUGUACAGGUGGUGCAUGGCUGUCGUCAGCUCGUGUCGUGAGAUGUUGGGUUAAGUCCCGCAACGAGCGCAACCCUUGUCCCGUGUUGCCAGCAGGCCCUUGUGGUGCUGGGGACUCACGGGAGACCGCCGGGGUCAACUCGGAGGAAGGUGGGGACGACGUCAAGUCAUCAUGCCCUUAUGUCUUGGGCUGCACACGUGCUACAAUGGCCGGUACAAUGAGCUGCGAUACCGCGAGGUGGAGCGAAUCUCAAAAAGCCGGUCUCAGUUCGGAUUGGGGUCUGCAACUCGACCCC
rnacentral:rRNA from 1 species